UACGUAGGGGGCGAGCGUUGUCCGGAUUUAUUGGGCGUAAAGGGCUCGUAGGCGGCCAACUAAGUCAGACGUGAAAUCCCUAGGCUCAACCUAGGAACUGCGUCUGAUACUGGAUGGCUUGAAUCCGGGAGAGGGAUGCAGAAUUCCAGGUGUAGCGGUGAAAUGCGUAGAUAUCUGGAGGAACACCAACAGCGAAGGCAGCUCGCUGGGACGGUACUGACGCUGAGGCGCGAAAGCGUGGGGAGCGAACAGG
rnacentral:rRNA from 1 species